GAGAGUUUGAUCCUGGCUCAGGAUGAACGCUGGCGGCGUGCUUAACACAUGCAAGUCGAGCGAAGCAUUAAAACAGAUUUCUUCGGAAUGAAGUUUUGAUGACUGAGCGGCGGACGGGUGAGUAACGCGUGGGUGACCUGCCUCAUACAGGGGGAUAACAGACAGAAAUGUCUGCUAAUACCGCAUAAGCGCACAGUGCUGCAUGGCACAGUGUGAAAAACUCCGGUGGUAUGAGAUGGACCCGCGUCUGAUUAGCUAGUUGGUAAGGUAACGGCUUACCAAGGCGACGAUCAGUAGCCGGCCUGAGAGGGUGAACGGCCACAUUGGGACUGAGACACGGCCCAAACUCCUACGGGAGGCAGCAGUGGGGAAUAUUGCACAAUGGGGGAAACCCUGAUGCAGCGACGCCGCGUGAAGGAAGAAGUAUUUCGGUAUGUAAACUUCUAUCAGCAGGGAAGAAAAUGACGGUACCUGACUAAGAAGCCCCGGCUAACUA
rnacentral:rRNA from 1 species